CCUACGGGUGGCAGCAGUGAGGAAUAUUGGUCAAUGGGAGAGAUCCUGAACCAGCCAAGCCGCGUGAGUGAAGACGGCCCUAUGGGUUGUAAACCUCUUUUGUCGGAGAACAAAACCCGGGACGUGUCCCGGACUGCGUGUAUCCGAAGAAACAGCAUCGGCUAACUCCGUGCCAGCGGCCGCGGUAAUACGGAGGAUGCGAGCGUUAUCCGGAUUUCUUGGGUUUAAGGGGUGCGUAGGCGGUCCGUUAAGUCAGCGGGAAAAUUGCGGGGCACAACCCUGUCGACCGUUGAAACUGGCAGACUUGAGUGGGCGAGAAGUACGCGGAAUGCGCGGUGUAGCGGUGAAAUGCAUAGAUAUCGCGCAGAACUCCGAUUGCGAAGGCAGCGUACCGGCGCCAGACUGACGCUGAGGCACGAAAGCGUGGGGAUCGAACAGGAUUAGAUACCCUUGUAGUC
rnacentral:rRNA from 1 species